rnacentral:rRNA from 1 species
GACGAACGCUGGCGGCGUGCUUAACACAUGCAAGUCGAACGAUGAAGAAAAGAAUUGAAGCUUCGGCAGAAAUUCAUUUCGGAUUAGUGGCAGACGGGUGAGUAACGCGUGAGCAACCUACCUCUUACAAAGGGAUAGCCUCGGGAAACCGGGAUUAAUACCAUAUAACAUUGCGACGAAGCAUUUCGAUGCAAUCAAAGCUACGGCGGUAAGAGAUGGGCUCGCGUCCCAUUAACCAGAUGGUGAGGUAACGGCUCACCAUAGUAACGAUGGGUAACCGGCCUGAGAGGGUGAACGGUCACACUGGAACUGAGACACGGUCCAGACUCCUACGGGAGGCAGCAGUGGGGAAUAUUGCACAAUGGAGGGAACUCUGAUGCAGCGACGCCGCGUGAGUGAUGAAGGAAUUCGUUUCGUAAAACUCUGUUCUAUGGGAAGAAAAGGACUGUACCAUAGGAGAAAGCUCCGGCUAAAUACGUA